UACGAGGGGUCCUAGCGUUGUUCGGAAUCAUUGGGCGUAAAGAGUCUGUAGGCGGCCAUGUAAGUCAGGUGUGAAAGCCCCGGGCUCAACCCGGGAAGUGCAUUUGAUACUGCUUGGCUUGAAUGUUGGAGAGGGUAGUAGAAUUCCAGGUGUAGUGGUGAAAUACGUAGAUAUCUGGAGGAAUACCGGUGGCGAAGGCGGCUACCUGGCCAAAACAUUGACGCUGAGAGACGAAAAGCGUGGGGGAGCAAACAGG
rnacentral:rRNA from 1 species